rnacentral:rRNA from 1 species
CAUCGCUCCUUGAAUAAAAUAUAUAGGGAGUCGAACCUGCCCGGUGAAAAUAUUUUAACGGCCGCGGUACUCUGACCGUGCAAAGGUAGCAUAAUCACUUGCCUUAUAAUUGAAGGCUGGAAUGAAUGGUCUGACGAGAGCGACACUGUCUCCUCUUUAUUUCCUAGAAUUUGACUUUCAGGUGAAGAGGCCUGAAUUUUAUUGAAGGACAAGAAGACCCUGUCGAGCUUAAAAAAUGAAUAGAGAGGUUUAUAUUUUAAUAGAUUUACAACUAUUCGAUGUUUUUGGUUGGGGCGACCCAGGAACAAGAAAAGCUUCCUUAGUUCUGGGGGACCGGUCAGUUUUGACCCAGCAAAGCUGAUCGAUAGAAUUAGUUACCGCAGGGAUAACAGCAUAAUCUCCCUUGAGAGGCCCCAUCGAAAGGGGGGGUUGUGACCUCGAUGUUGGACUAGAAUAUCCUGAAGAUGCAGAAGUCUUCGAGGGUUGGUCUGUUCGACCAUUAAAAUUCUAC